ensembl:lncRNA
GGGGGCACCUAGAUUAUUACUGCACUAGUCUGGUCUGGUAGGAAAGUAAAAGGAAUAAAAAGCCUGAAUCUCCCAAAGCAGAUUGACUCACUUUUAUUUAACAAAAGUCACUGCAUUGAUUCUCGGCUGUGAGAAAGUGAUGGAGGAGUAGGAGGGAGCGCUGGUGCUCCGCGCCAUCCAUCUUCACUUAACAAAUCGCUGCUUGGGUACGUGAGUGAGCAAGAUGCUGUGCAGAGGGAAGGAACUCACUCUUCCCCAGAGCAAAGUGGGAGUCAUCUGAGAAAACGUUAUUCCUUCUGUCGUAGUUUCUUCUCCAGUCUGCUGAUGAGCCAUUACAGCUAUCCUCAGUGCCUUAGGACAGGCUGUGAAGUCCCAGUGUAGCCUGUGGGGAAUAUCUAUAGGAUUCUCGAGUACUUGAUCUGCCGAUGCUUGAAGCUUUCUGUGACGGAGGAGUUAACCAAAUAUACUGCUAUCAUUUCCUGAGUGCAUGCCCUUUCAUUCUGGAAAAAGCCUGUAUGUAGUUCUGGGAGACUGCUGUGUGUAAAAGCUCAGCUUUGUCAGUAAUUACAUUAUUUAAUAAGAUUUUCUACUGCUAAAAUUCUGCUGCUUCUAAUCUGCUACAGAUGCAUGUUCUUCGUUUCGAACAGGUCAGUGUUCAUUUCUGUUAGUUUCCUGUGGGUGUCCAAAAGGGCUGAAUAAAGCAGCCACGUUGGUGUUAGUUCUGCUCUUGUACUGCUGUGGUUCGGUCGCUCAGCAGAAGUUGGGGUUAGCGUUUGUACUGCACGGAGCGAACAGCACAGGUUCUUUCUGAAGGGUCAUGCAGGCUGCAGGUGUGUGAUGGAAGGGGGAACCUUCUGUGGCCCUCUCCUCGCCACAGAGCAACAGUGAUUUUUUUUAAAACACAGGAAAUGGAUAAUGUUUACUACCAAACUAUAUAUAUACAUAUAUGUCUAUAUAUAUAGACACAUACUCAUAGGCCAUAUUUUGGACCUAAAUUACUUGACAGUGUCCCUUUUAGCAUGAAUCCUUUGGUAUGUUUUACCGUUCACGUAACAGACGAUGAAGGAAUCAGCUUGUAAUGGUAUACUAAUCAGCAUUGACAUUUUCUUCUUUUGAUUUGAGAACGAAUUGCUCACAAAUGACAAGGUUUAGAGAGAAGGAUUAACAACGUGUAUUGCUGUACGCUGGUUUACAAAAUACAUAAACAAAUCGGAUGAUAAAGGAAUCAUGUUCAUGAUCUCGUGUCUCCUAGUAUUGUCUCGAGGAAAAUUGUGUUGCAGGAAGAAAACAGGACAAGAAAGUAUCCACAUGAAUUAACGCUUGCCUUUUUUUUCCCAUUGUACUUGCUGGUUUUUUGGAUGAAGGGAACUUUUCAUUGUUCAUUGGGAAGUACAGUAAAAUCUUGCUAAUUCGCUGACUGCUAACCAGAGCAUCCCAUAGGUUUAUAUGUCCCCUAUGACCAUAUCUCUCUUCCCACCUCUCUGCGAUGUUCUAAAAAGUACAGUAGCGAAGUCUCGUACGAGUGAUACUGUACUGCUUCACCCGAGUAUACAGCAUCAUCUAUGUUAGUAUACUGGGAGGUACAAGAAGCAUUGCAAACUAAAUCACAGUCGUCAAAAUAAAUGAACAAAGUACCUUUUGUGAUGUGACAUCCUUGCUUUCAUUGCCUGCUUCUUCACUGCUUUCAAAAUUGUGAUUUCCGGAGGGUUUCUGAGUCACUGCUGCGAAUUAUUGGGGUUCUACUGUAACUUUUGGGAAGCAUUCAUGUUCUCCUAUGAAAACGUUCCACCUGGACGUAUACGUGCUAUUCCACGCUUGUUCAGAAUAUUUUUAUGGUGUUUGUAUCACACGUAGUAACUAUUUGAAGCGAACCGGAAUAUUUGGGUGAAUUCACUCUGAACUUUGCAGCAUUGGAUUUCUUUACGUAUGUAUAUUUGCUAACUAAAUAGUCUUGGUUUUGAGAGCUUUGGUUUUUUUAUUUUUAUUUUUAUUCUUCUCUGUUGGCUCGUUUUAAUACCAUUACAAAUUGCAGGGAAAACCCUAAUGCUCCAGGGAAUACGUUUGACAAAUCUAAUAGGCAGCAAUCUGCUUCUGCAGUCGGUACCAGUACACAUGUGAACUUUCAGAUUGCAUGGUUGGUACUGAAGCGGGUUACUUGUUACACUCUGCUGGUUUUAAAUGUGUUGCGGAGAUGAAGCCGUGUAACUUUGAAAGUUCAUUCGACUUACGGUAAUGCAUGUUUGUGUUAGGCAUGUAAUGCAUUUAGCUGAAGCUCACUUGGCGAGGGGCAAGUACUAGGAAAGUAUUACUGCUAAUGAAAAGAGUUGUCUCUAAGUUAAAACUAAGACCUUUGUUCAAGUUUAAAUUGCUUUGUGUCAGGGAAAUACCUUUAUAGUCGCUUUUGCUCUACUCUGCGUGAAGAACCUUAUGUUUCCUUUUUAAAAUUGUAACUUUUGGUAGGAAACACAAACUGAGGCAAGCAAACAUUUCUGAGAGUUGUUUCUUGCUCUCCUUAAUCCAAUGGAUGGAAAGGUAAUAUUGUGUAAACAACAUUAUUUUAUUUUUUUAUGCAAUAUCGUGCUGUAAAUAUGAUUUAUCAAAUAAGGAUGUACCUAUGAUUGAAUCUUUGAUUCUGCACAGUUAGAGUUUAUAUAUAAAUAUAAAUGUGUCUUGACAAUCAAGGACUUAUGUCAGUCUUCCUUUAUGAUGUUUAUUAUUGUUAUGCAUUCCAUUUGUUUGAAUUGAGUACCGAUGUGGAGAUUUGUAUUGUCUGUAAAGUAUGUAAUGUUUUUAUAGCUUGUUUAAAGAAGAAACAACAAAUGCUGUAAAUAGAUACGGACUGAUGGCAGUACCGCUCUGUUCGAAGGCGUACGAUGUUGUACUGUUUGUAAGCAAUAAUACACGACAGUGCUAACUUUACGAGUAGCAUAAGGAUAAGUUCCAAAAAUACCUUUGGGGAGUUAAUAGCCUUGAGUUAAUGAGUAUUCUUAAUCGUUUUUUAUAAACAAAUUCAAACGUCCUCCUGCUGGAGUAGGUAACAUUGUUUACACGGCACAAUCUCAGUCACAGAGAGGACAGCCUUUAGAUCCAUGGCUUCAUCCGUGCACACUUUGAGUAAGAAAGGAAUGGCUUGGCUGCACUUCUGCAAGAGGAGGAAGACUGCAAAAGUCGAAUAGCUGUGUCUCUAAAGGAUGAGAGAUACUAUUCUGCUUCUGUGCUGAUUCCUGACAGUCCCUCUGCUUAAAUUUGGAGUCUUUAAGUCCUGAUACUGAACUGAUGAGACUUGGGCCUCCAGUAGGAAGGAGUAGUUCUCUCCGUAUUUCAUAUGCAGUUAAACAGUGAACUUACAAGUCACGUUGUUCGGUUGAGUUGCGUAUUUUUCCAGUUAUGAGCUACGAGAUGAUGAGUUUAUUCUGAUAAAUAAACUAAACGUCAAACUUAUAGUUUGAAUUGAGUAGGGAUAAGACUGUACAGAGCAGCGAAACUAUUUGAACGCAGUCAUCACUGCUUUAGAACCCCCCCCACCCCGAUUUAUAAAUGUAUAUGACCUACAUUUUAUAGAAAAGAAAAUGUUUUUAAAUGCUAGUCAUUUAUAUAAUAUGUGCUUUGAAGGAUUUGCUAGUCCACUUCUGUCACUUUUAGUACACUGGUAUCUUUUAUAUGUAAUGUAUGCUUUUUAUUAUUAUUGUAGUAAAGCAUUUCAGUAGGAGGAAUUUUGCAACAGUAUGAGGGGUUGAAAUUUUCCUUGUCAGAAAUGAAUUAUACUGGACUUUGUCUGUGUAGUCUUGUCUUUCUUUUAAUGCUGUCUGGAAGGGAGCUUGGUGUUCAAUAAAGCAAGUGACCUCCUUCUAUGUUGAAGGCAUACUCUGUAGCCCUGAGUCGGAUCUGGAAACGUGAUGGAUCUGAAGACAGAGCAAUCAGUACAAACUCUAAGCGUACAGAAGAAACUGUGCUCUGGAGAACCUGGCGAUAGAUAUCUAAUGGAACGCUGUUACGGUGCAUUUUCUGAGCUAGUGUCCAUAUGCCUUCUUCGUACUUUCAACUAAUAAGCAGAAAAAUCCAUAUAGAUAAAUUUAGGAUAGUAGGUUUAUUUCAAUAAUUAUACAGUAUUUCUUUAUCCUACGACAUCUAUUCCGUCCGUUUAUUAUUAGGCAAAAGGUCAUAACCUGAACUCCACCAGUAGAAGUAUGUAUAUAGAUAAGAGAUGGUUUUGUAGGAUCCGGGCAAGGAUGAAAUUUGUAUAUUCUUUAUGACAGAAACCAGGACGGGAGUCUGUCUGUAUUCCUGGGAGAUGAGUGUGUGAAUGUGUGUGUGUGUGUGUGUGAGUGUGCGUACGUGAAAGAUGCAUGGGUCUCCUGGCAAAAGUGAUACAAGUGUAAAAGGAUUUAAUGUAGCUCAACACAUGACUUAUGUUUAGUAUGUAAAAGAAACGUAUAAAUUUCAUAAUUCAAAAAGACAAAAAUAGUUUUGCAGGAAACAAAACUAUUUGGAUAGCAGGCUUGACCAAAUAAAUGUUUUGGUUAAACUUGAUAUAUUUUAAAUGAUUCUAUUUCUGCCUUUAUUUCUGCCCUAAAAGCAACUUAAAGUAUUUUGGGAGUUAACUCUUAUCUGUUCCUUUGACUGUGAGUGUAAUUUAUAUCAUGGUUUACAAAACGUGGCAUGAAGGAUCGGAUUGUUUUAUCUGUAUAAUACAAUGAAAGAUGGCUUUUUUACAUAAUCACGGUGAAUGGUAUUGUAUUCCUAGGAUUGAUUUAUUCAUUCGGUGACUUAAUGAGUUCCAUCACUUUUGACUUUUGUUCUUAUGGUUAACUUAGUCAUUUGGGGCUUAUAAUACCCUCCUAUGUAUUGUGAUACUAAGGGAAGUUAUGUUUUCGCUUUAUUUUUAAUUAAACUAAUAGUUUGAUAAUUUAUAUUUGCAAAUGAUGCAUUUUAAAUGUGGUCACUUGCUGUUUGAAAAAUAAAAAUAUAGAAUACUGUUUUAUGAAUAGACUUUUAGCAGUAUUUUUCACGCUAGUGAACCUCAAACAAAAUCUCCUUGAGGCAGACGGAGGCUCGCGAAGACGCAGGUUGUUGUGUAAGAGCGCGAGGGGACAACUGCAGCCUCAACAACUGAGUGUUGAAGGGUUUGACUGAGACGCGCAAAGGUUCUGUGGGUUUUCUCCUCCUUUGGAUCUCUACCUUGUCGCCUCCGUUUAUAGAAAGCGGAAUAUCGGGCCUUAAUUCUAACCUCGGACCUCACAGAAGAUUGUGCUGUUGUGGCAGUAGUGUCUCUCGGAUAGGAGCUCGUGGCAUUGGGCAGCUUUCCUUUGACACUGGAGAGGGGCUGCCCACAUUCCUGCCCCUUCAGGGCUGGGAGGCUGUGAGCCUCUUUCAUGGCUUCUGAAAUGCAGAAGGAACUCAGCAGUGUAAUUUGAUAGGCCUUCGUUUCAACGUUAUUCUCCUAUGCCUGCUUUGCUAUUGUUUUUAACAUAGCUUUUGAGGGACUCGAAGUUCUGCGUUGACAUUCAUCCCGUGAAAUGACUGCUCUCAAUUGUUUUCGGUUGGGCAGUGUUAAGGUGAGGGUGUGCUGUGCAAAGUGCCCUGGUAAGUAGCACCGGCUUGCUCGGCCUUGUAUUGGUGGGAAUAAGAUAUCAAACACUGAUAGCUUCUGCCUGUUGACUUUCACAAUGUCAAGAUACUAAAGCAAUACUGAAAAACAGGACAUUUUUCAAUGCUUUCAUGUUGGAAAGAAUUUCCAGAGCUUACAUUCUGUGUUCAGUGAGAAAAAGGAAUCCACGUUAGCUGUAUUUUCUGCUAGGAGGAGGAAGCAGUCUUCUGCUCAGAGUGCUGGUUGUUUAUUUAAAGGGUUGAAAAAAGAUCUGUCUAUUGGAAUAUCUUCCUUGUUCUGUAGCUCCAGGGCGGUUCGUGACAGAGAGAUCUGGAGGUGGCACUUUUAGGGAGAUGGGAUGGAAGAGUGUCUGAGUGGUCAGCUGUCCUGUGCAUUGCUCUUACCAGAUCAGCAGAAGACUGUUGCCUGCAGAAUGCCAUCCGCUCUUUUGUCUGCUUUAGCUGUCAAGACGCGGAGCUGCAAGAAGGGAACUGGAACUGGAGCUGGAGCCGUGCACGUGCUGCCCUCCCGGGGACAGCAGUCCCACAGGUAGCCGUGCGUGGAGCCGGGAGUUGGACUCGAUGAUCAGCCCAUGGAUCGGUCGAUUCUCCACGGAGGGACGCGGGGUUCCGCAGCGGCUGCGGGCAGUGGAAGCGGGAGGCGGCCGCUCCCGUGCGGAACUGCAGCGCCACC